rnacentral:rRNA from 1 species
UGUGCCAGCCGCCGCGGUAAUACGUAGGGUGCAAGCGUUAAUCGGAAUUAUUGGGCGUAAAGCGAGUGCAGACGGUUACUUAAGCCAGAUGUGAAAUCCCCAAGCUUAACUUGGGACGUGCAUUUGGAACUGGGUGACUAGAGUGUGUCAGAGGGAGGUAGAAUUCCACAUGUAGCGGUGGAAUGCGUAGAGAUGUGGAGGAAUACCGAUGGCGAAGGCAGCCUCCUGGGAUAACACUG